UGGCGUUACUGCGUCAUGCUUCCUUCCUGCCGAUAGCAUUUGGCUUUUACCUGGGGCUCUUCCUAACUGUGGUGGAUGCUGCGUCCUGUCCUGCAACCAGGAU